rnacentral:rRNA from 1 species
AACGAACGCUGGCGGCAUGCCUAACACAUGCAAGUCGAACGAGACCUUCGGGUCUAGUGGCGCACGGGUGCGUAACGCGUGGGAACCUGCCCUUAGGUUCGGAAUAACUCCCCGAAAGGGGUGCUAAUACCGGAUAAUGUCUUCGGACCAAAGAUUUAUCGCCUUUGGAUGGGCCCGCGUUGGAUUAGCCAGUUGGUAGGGUAAAAGCCUACCAAGGCGACGAUCCAUAGCUGGUCUGAGAGGAGGAUCAGCCACACUGGGACUGAGGCACGGCCCAGACUCCUACGGGAGGCAGCAGUGGGGAAUAUUGGACAAGGGGCGAAAGCCUGAUCCAGCAAUGCCGCGUGAGUGAUGAAGGCCUUAGGGUUGUAAAGCUCUUUUACCCGGGAUGAGAAUGACAGUACCGGGAGAAUAAGCACCGGCUAACUCCGUG